GACGAACGCUGGCGGCAUGCUUAACACAUGCAAGUCGAACGGAAAGGCCCUGCUUUUGUGGGGUGCUCGAGUGGCGAACGGGUGAGUAACACGUGAGUAACCUGCCCUUGACUUUGGGAUAACUUCAGGAAACUGGGGCUAAUACCGGAUAGGAGCUCCUGCUGCAUGGUGGGGGUUGGAAAGUUUCGGCGGUUGGGGAUGGACUCGCGGCUUAUCAGCUUGUUGGUGGGGUAGUGGCUUACCAAGGCUUUGACGGGUAGCCGGCCUGAGAGGGUGACCGGCCACAUUGGGACUGAGAUACGGCCCAGACUCCUACGGGAGGCAGCAGUGGGGAAUAUUGCACAAUGGGCGGAAGCAUGAUGCAGCAACGCCGCGUGCGGGAUGACGGCCUUCGGGUUGUAAACCGCUUUCGCCUGUGACGAAGCGUGAGUGACGGUAAUGGGUAAAGAAGCACCGGCUAACUACGUG
rnacentral:rRNA from 1 species